rnacentral:rRNA from 1 species
CGGGUAGAAACCCCACCCUUGUGUAUAUUAUAUUGUUGCUUUAGCAGGUCGCCCUCUGGGCGUCGGCCUCGGCUGACUGUGCCUGCUAGAGGACCCUAAAUUUUGAAAUACAGUGUCGUCUGAGUACUAUUUAAUAGUUAAAACUUUCAACAACGGAUCUCUUGGUUCUGGCAUCGAUGAAGAACGCAGCGAAAUGCGAUAAGUAAUGUGAAUUGCAGAAUUCAGUGAAUCAUCGAAUCUUUGAACGCACAUUGCGCCCCUUGGUAUUCCGGGGGGCAUGCCUGUUCGAGCGUCAUUUAGACCAACUCCCGCUCCGGCGGGGUCUUGGGCUGCGCCUUUGGGCGGGCCUUAAAACCAGUGGCGGUGCCCUAAGGCUCUACGCGUAGUAAUUCUUCUCGCGAUAGGGUCCUUGCGGUGUCUUGCCAGCAACCCCCAACUCUCUAGGGUUGACCUCGGAUCAGUG